GCGUUUAAUUACAGCGCUCAGCGUGCGUUUAACCCCUGCAGCGUUCACUCACAGCGCGGUGAACUCUACUGAACGCGCGCAGUCCCGCGGCGGCCGGAUGAGGAUGAGAAUGCGAAUACGAUGGACGCCUGUACAUGAAGUCUGCUGUGGUAGCGCCUGAUACGAGUGUUUUGACCUGUAGAGUAUCCAGUGAAGAGUUUCAUGUAGUGUUCAGUUCACUCCUGCAGCGCUCGGUUAAUAAACUACACUGAACUGAAUGAAAAUCAGACCCUGUUGAUCAUGAACACGUCGAUGAUUAGUACCACCGCAGAACUGAUUUCAUUUUUACCAGCUCCGACUGAACGCCUACAGUGUUGCGCUCGUCGCUGCUUUUGAAUCAACACCUUCAGGGCUAAAUGAACUGUCGUAGUGCCGCGUGCGGGUUUAAUUCACGCGGCAUUUGAUCCCGUCCGCUGAACACACACAAAUGUUCCCCUUCGGGUCGUUUUAUUACAGGCCGCGUGUCCCUGCGGCGCUCGUCCGGCGUUCGGGUAACACUCACAGCUGAAUCAACGUCUGCAGGUGACGUUCAUGUCAUUCGAUUAAUUAACACGAGAAGAAUUCCUCUCAUCUUUAGAGUACUGAAUUAACGCCCGCAGUGUUGGGUUCAUUACACACGUUUAUUUAAGACGUGUAACGUCAGGUUAAUUACACACGUUUAUUUAAGACGUGUAACGUCGGGUUAAUUACACACGUUUAUUUAAGACGUGUAACGUCGGGUUAAUUACACACGUUUAUUUAAGACGUGUAACGUCGGGUUAAUUACACACGUUAUUUAAGACGUGUAACGUCGGGUUAAUUACACACGUUUAUUUAAGACGUGUAACGUCGGGUUAAUUACACACGUUUAUUUAAGACGUGUAACGUCGGGUUAAUUACACACGUUUAUUUAAGACGUGUAACGUCAGGUUAAUUACACACGUUUAUGCAGGUUAAUUAUAAACAUUUAUUUAGGUUAAUUAUAAACAUUUAUUUAGGUUACUUAUAAACAUUUAUUUAUGUUAAUUAAAAACAUUUAUUUAGGUUAAUUAAAAACAUUUAUUUAGGUUAAUUAUAAAUAUUUAUUUAGGUUAUUUAUAAACGUUUAUUUAAGACGUGUAGUGUUAAAUAAAUGUUUAUAAUUAAUCUAACACCACACGCCUUGAAUAAAUGUUUAUAAUUAAUGUAACCUGUAGUGUUAGAUUAAUUAUAAACGUUUAUUUAAAUACUACAGUCUUCAUUUAAUUAUCAGUGGAAUUAGCAUUUACAGUGCUGAGUUUUCUGAUCAGCACUGAUCUGAGACCUGUAGCAUUCACGGACUCACCAGUGUUGUAUUAAUGAAUGAUCACACAGUGUGUGUGGAAUUAGUGUGGAAUUAAGGCUCGCAGUGUUCAGUUCAGCAGUAGUGUUGGAUAUCUAAGCUUCUGGGAUUGACAGCCCGUCACAGUGGUUCUGGGUGGUGUGGAGUGGUUCUGGGUGGUGUGGAGUGGUUCUGGGUGGUGUUGA
ensembl:lncRNA